UCAAAAUGUUUGACAGCCCAUAAUUUAUUUCACAUUUUUUCCCGCGUUUCUUUCUAUUUAAACAAACAAAAAAAAGAAAAGUUCUCGACAAACUUUUAUGUACAUCCUAAAUAUACCUAUAUCCCGGUCUGUAAUUUUCUAAAAAUAUUUUUUGUUGAUUAUUUAUUGUCCUUUUAUGGGAAGUGCUAAAACCUACGGAACUUAUCCAUCGUUGGUUGUGUUAAAUGCAUUAAGGUGCUUCAGAAAAAAAGAGUCCAAUAGACUUAUGUUUGCAAGCCGCCACCAUCAGUUUUUCUUUUUAUUUAUAAACAAAUCUUAAGCAUUUUCUUAAGGGAAAAACAAAAAAGGAAGAAGAUUUUAAAUGAUGGCCAACAGAAUCAUUCAAUUAUACAUAUGUGCAAGCUAUCCUAGACUUUAUGCUGCAAAGGAUGAGUGUAGUAUUGCGACAAGGUUUAUGAGCGUAUCAAGAAGAUCCCAGGCUAAAGGAGAUUAAUAUGAAAGUGCAACGAAUCGAAAAAUCAACAACGUGCUUAGUCUUAACACUAAUCAAGCAAUUUGAUGAUCAAAAUACACUCCGUCAGAUGCUCUACAUCGCUGACAAUGUACCUAAUUUCCAUAUGUUGUUCAAGAUGCGCCCCUCUGAUCUGAUUUAUAAAAUCUAGUAGCCACAUUCAAAGAAUGUCAAACCUGCUGAAAAUGCAGACGAUAUUCUUGAAGACCAUGAGGAAAAUCCACAUGUUUUCUUUAAACGUUUACCCGAGGUUAUUGGCGACAUUUGGAAACGUAUAACGUCAGUGUGGGCGUGUAUACUGAAACAGUAUUUGAAAGAUAUGUACGCCCUACAGGCUAAGAAGACGGUAAAAUAUCAAAUAACACAAACAUUUUACAAAAAAUUGUUACGACGAAAACAGUGCCCAAUUUCAAUUGCAGAAAUUAAGGAAUUGGUCAUAAAAUCAAGUGAUGUCUGUUUAAAUCCAGAAGAUGAGAAAGAUUUACUUAUAUGUAUGUACAUAUGUUCUUUAUGAUAAAUGUAAAAGAAUUUAUUCUCUUUCAGUUUUUCAGUUUAAACAACUUAUAAAUAAGUUUGAUCCAGAUGAUGCAUAUCUGCUCUUGAUAAAGAAAAAAAAUAAACAUGAUCAAGCUGGUGAGAGUAGUAUAGGAGCAAGAGCGGGCAGUGCGACAACGCCACAUGUAAAUAGUGUUAAUCAUACGAUGGUUUCAAGACCAUCCCAAAGCAAGAGAAUCGUUGGAUAGUAGCAGUGGAAAAAUUGCACCCAGCAUAGGCUUUGGAACGCCAACAUUACAGAACAAAUGAAUCAGAAACAACUAUUGGAAAAUUGACCCAAUGAAUAAUAAUAAUAAUAAUUAGUUUUUAACAAGUCUUGUUAUUUAAUUAAAGAAUUUCGCGGAAAAUUGAUGAACAAAAAACAAUUUUGAAGAACAUAGGUACCUUUUGUUUUGAUCUGGAUUUGUUUUUAUGUCAAAACUGUUCUUACUUUGGUUCGAUAUAUAAAUAUAUUGAUCAAUAUAUAAAUGUUCAAUAAAUCAAUAGUACCUAUAAUAGUAUCUGGUUAGUAAUGAAAAUGACUUUUUUUAAGUUUUGAGAAUCACUUUGAAAAUUAACACCACACAAACUAACAAGUUAUUCUUUAGAAAUCUCGAAUAAACAUUAUUAUUUAAUGUUAUCACAAAAGCAAAAUUUCUUGAACA